rnacentral:rRNA from 1 species
GGUGAACGCUGGCGGUAGGCCUAACACAUGCAAGUCGAACGGCAGCACAGUAAGAGCUUGCUCUUACGGGUGGCGAGUGGCGGACGGGUGAGGAAUACAUCGGAAUCUACUUUUUCGUGGGGGAUAACGUAGGGAAACUUACGCUAAUACCGCAUACGGCCUACGGGUGAAAGCAGGGGAUCUUCGGACCUUGCGCGAUUGAAUGAGCCGAUGUCGGAUUAGCUAGUUGGCGGGGUAAAGGCCCACCAAGGCGACGAUCCGUAGCUGGUCUGAGAGGAUGAUCAGCCACACUGGAACUGAGACACGGUCCAGACUCCUACGGGAGGCAGCAGUGGGGAAUAUUGGACAAUGGGCGCAAGCCUGAUCCAGCCAUACCGCGUGGGUGAAGAAGGCCUUCGGGUUGUAAAGCCCUUUUGUUGGGAAAGAAAAGCAGCAGGUUAAUACCCCGCUGUUCUGACGGUACCCAAAGAAUAAGCACCGGCUAACUUCGUG